UGGUGUGAUUAUACCUGCACUAAUGCACCAAAUCCCAUCAGAACAUCGUAGUGAAGCGUGCUUAGGCAAGAGUAGUACUAGGAUGGAUGACCUCAUUGGAACUCCUCGUGUUGCACCCC
rnacentral:rRNA from 1 species